CAAAAACAAACCUGGUGUGGUAACAAAUUGACAAAUCAGCCAGGAGCUAAGUCCAGAUGGACCUUUUUGCCCGAGAUCCGUCAACCCCUUGCCAGUGUGGAGGACCUGUGGCCAAGUCCAGCAGCUGCCAGGAGCAUUUCUCCUGGGACCAUUCUGGGCUUCUUCCCUGGCUUGGCACUGCCGACUCCUUGGCGCAUAUUUUCACUUUGCAAUAGAGAGACAGUUUCUUGGUUUGGAACGUGUCUUUUUGCAGGACACAUUUGGAAACAUUGGUUACCUUACCAAGACUUUGACUGGAAUGUCAUAUUUGAGAGAAACAUGCAGAUUCAGAUAUGACAAGACAGCUUUUGAGGAAUAAGUGUUGACUUUCUGAAUAAAGCCAUUUGGAAAUAUUGGCCUGGUACCUUGUUUACAUGAAUUCCAGCAAUCUUACCCACUAAGUAAGUAGGAUCACUUACCUGGCAGGCACCUGGAAUCUUGAAAUAUUUUGGGAGACCUAGAGAAGAGAGGAAUCUACCCAAAGCUGUGGGUAUUGCAGGCAAAAUCUGAUGACAAGUCUUUGACUUGGCUUUCCUAGCCUGGAGAAGCCUUUAAAGUUCAAUCUAAGAUUCCUCAUAAAAAGUUCCAGCUAAGCAGAUUUGAAAAAACCUGUAUAAUC
rnacentral:lncRNA from 1 species